rnacentral:rRNA from 1 species
AUUGAACGCUGGCGGCGUGCCUAACACAUGCAAGUCGAGCGGUAACAGGUGUAGCAAUACAUGCUGACGAGCGGCGGACGGGUGAGUAACGCUUGGGAAUCUGCCUGUUAGUGGGGGACAACCCGGGGAAACUCGGGCUAAUACCGCAUACGCACUACGGUGGAAAGCCGGGGACCGCAAGGCCUGGCGCUAACAGAUGAGCCCAAGUCGGAUUAGCUAGUUGGUAGGGAACGGCCUACCAAGGCGACGAUCCGUAACUGGUCUGAGAGGACGACCAGUCACACCGGAACUGAGACACGGUCCGGACUCCUACGGGAGGCAGCAGUGGGGAAUAUUGGACAAUGGGCGAAAGCCUGAUCCAGCGACGCCGCGUGGGUGAAGAAGGCCUGCGGGUUGUAAAGCCCUUUCGGUGGGAAGAAAAGCCUCGAGUUAAUACCUCGGGGUCUUGACGUAACCCAUAGAAGAAGCACCGGCUAACUCUGUG